AUUUCGAUGCCGGUGGAUGACG
rnacentral:miRNA from 1 species